AGCCCUGCAAAAAUAUUAUUGCUAAAGCAGUAUAUGAAAUCAGAUGUAUUACCUACCACCAUGUACUUGUUUUGUGUUAUUUAAAAUAUUUAUUAAAUAUCUGGUCAUACUAAAUGUAAUUGUUCCACUCAUUUUUAA